rnacentral:rRNA from 1 species
GCUUGAUCCUGGCUCAGAUUGAACGCUGGCGGCAUGCCUUACACAUGCAAGUCGAACGGUAACGCGGGGGCAACCCUGGCGACGAGUGGCGAACGGGUGAGUAAUACAUCGGAACAUAUCCAGUAGCGGGGGAUAACCUAUCGAAAGAUGGACUAAUACCGCAUACGAUCUACGGAUGAAAGCAGGGGACCGCAAGGCCUUGCACUAUUGGAGUAGCCGAUGACGGAUUAGCUAGUUGGUGGGGUAAAAGCUUACCAAGGCGACGAUCCGUAGCUGGUCUGAGAGGACGAUCAGCCACACUGGAACUGAGACACGGUCCAGACUCCUACGGGAGGCAGCAGUGGGGAAUUUUGGACAAUGGGCGCAAGCCUGAUCCAGCCAUGCCGCGUGAGUGAAGAAGGCCUUCGGGUUGUAAAGCUCUUUCGGUGAAGACGAAACGGUUCAUGCUAAUAACGUGAACUAAUGACGGUACUCACAGAAGAAGCACCGGCUAACUACGUGCCAGCAGCCGCGGUAAUACGUAGGGUGCAGGCGUUAAUCGGAAUUACUGGGCGUAAAGCGUGCGCAGGCGGUUUGCUAAGACAGGUGUGAAAUCCCCGGGCUUAACCUGGGAAUUGCGCUUGUAACUGGCAAGCUAGAGUGUGGCAGAGGGGGGUGGAAUUCCACGUGUAGCAGUGAAAUGCGUAGAUAUGUGGAGGAACACCGAUGGCGAAGGCAGCCCCCUGGGUUAACACUGACGCUCAUGCACGAAAGCGUGGGGAGCAAACAGGAUUAGAUACCCUGUAGUCCACGCCCUAAACUAUGUCAACUAGUUGUCGGGGAAGAAAUUCCUUGGUAACGAAGCUAACGCGUGAAGUUGACCGCCUGGGGAGUACGGCCGCAAGGUUAAAACUCAAAGGAAUUGACGGGGACCCGCACAAGCGUGGAUUAUGUGGAUUAAUUCGAUGCAACGCGAAAAACCUUACCUACCCUUGACAUGCUAGGAAGCCCGCAGAGAUGUGGGUGUGCCCGAAAGGGAACCUAGACACAGGUGCUGCAUGGCUGUCGUCAGCUCGUGUCGUGAGAUGUUGGGUUAAGUCCCGCAACGAGCGCAACCCUUGCCAUUAGCUGCUACAUUCAGUUGGGCACUCUAAUGGGACCGCCGGUGACAAACCGGAGGAAGGUGGGGAUGACGUCAAGUCCUCAUGGCCCUUAUGGGUAGGGCUUCACACGUAAUACAAUGGUCGGUACAGAGGGCUGCCAACCCGCAAGGGGGAGCUAAUCCCAGAAAGCCGAUCGUAGUCCGGAUUGUAGUCUGCAACUCGACUGCAUGAAGCCGGAAUCGCUAGUAAUCGCGGAUCAGCAUGUCGCGGUGAAUACGUUCCCGGGUCUUGUACACACCGCCCGUCACACCAUGGGAGUGGGUUCCACCAGAAGUAGUUAGCCUAACCGCAAGGAGGGCGAUUACCACGGUGAGAUUCAUGACUGGGGUGAAGUCGUAACAAGGUA